GGAGGAUCCGAGCGUUAUCCGGAUUUAUUGGGUUUAAAGGGAGCGUAGAUGGAUGUUUAAGUCAGCUGUGAAAGUUUGCGGCUCAACCGUAAAAUUGCAGUUGAUACUGGAUGUCUUGAGUGCAGUUGAGGCAGGCGGAAUUCGUGGUGUAGCGGUGAAAUGCUUAGAUAUCACGAAGAACUCCGAUUGCGAAGGCAGCCUGCUAAGCUGCAACUGACAUUGAGGCUCGAAAGUGUGGGUAUCAAACAGGAUUAGAUACCCUGGUAGUCCACACGGUAAACGAUGAAUACUCGCUGUUUGCGAUAUACGGCAAGCGGCCAAGCGAAAGCGUUAAGUAUUCCACCUGGGGAGUACGCCGGCNACGGUGAAACUCAAAGG
rnacentral:rRNA from 1 species